rnacentral:rRNA from 1 species
UACGUAGGCAGCGAGCGUUGUUCGGAGUUACUGGGCGUAAAGGGCGCGUAGGCGGCCGAUCAAGUCGGGGGUGAAAGCCUGUGGCUCAACCACAGAAUUGCCUUCGAUACUGUUUGGCUUGAGACCGGAAGAGGUAAGUGGAACUGCGAGUGUAGAGGUGAAAUUCGUAGAUAUUCGCAAGAACACCAGUGGCGAAGGCGGCUUACUGGUCCGGUUCUGACGCUGAGGCGCGAAAGCGUGGGGAGCAAACAGG